UCAGCAGCCGCGGUAAUACGGAGGGNGCAAGCGUUGUCCGGAUUUAUUGGGUUUAAAGGGUGCGUAGGCNGUCUGAUCAGUCAGAGGUGAAAUCCCAAGGCUUAACCUUGGAACUGCCUUUGAUACUGUCAGACUUGAAUUCACUAGAGGUAAGCGGAAUUUAUGAUGUAGCGGUGAAAUGCAUAGAUAUCAUAAAGAACACCGAUAGCGUAGGCAGCUUACUGGAGUGUUAUUGACGCUGAGGCACGAAAGCGUGGGUAGCGAACGGGAUUAGAUACCCCGGUAGUCCACGCCGUAAACGAUGUUCACUCGCUGUGUGCGAUAUACAGUACGCGGCCAAGCGAAAGCAUUAAGUGAACCACCUGGGGAGUACGUUCGCAAGGAUGAAACUCAAAGGAAUUGACGG
rnacentral:rRNA from 1 species